rnacentral:rRNA from 1 species
AGAGUUUGAUCCUGGCUCAGGAUGAAUGCUAGCGGUGCGCCUAACACAUGCAAGUCGAGCGGGAUUCUAAAAUAGCUUGCUAUUUUAGAUGAGAGCGGCGAACGGGUGAGUAAUAAGUUGCUACCUACCUCUAAGUCAGGGAUAGUCCACCGAAAGGUGGUUUAAUACCGGAUGUGCUGGAAACAGUAAAGAUUUAUCGCUUAGAGAGGGGGCUUCUUCCUAUCAGCUAGUUGGUGAGGUAAUAGCUCACCAAGGCUAUGACGGGUAAUUGGUCUGAGAGGAUGACCAGUCACAAUGGAACUGAGACACGGUCCAUACUCCUACGGGAGGCAGCAGUGAGGAAUCUUCCACAAUGGGCGAAAGCCUGAUGGAGCGACACCGCGUGAAGGAUGAAGGUUUAACGAUUGUAAACUUCUUUUCUGGGGGAGCAUAAUGAGAGUACCCCAGGAAUAAGGGGCGGCAAAUCACGUGCCAGCAGCCGCGGUAAUACGUGAGCCCCAAGCAUUAUCCGGAAUUACUGGGUGUAAAGGGUUUGUAGGUGGAUUUUUAAGUUGAAUAUUAAAGACCGAAGCUCAACUUCGUGUAUGUAUUCAAAACUGGAAAUCUAGAAUCAGGGAGAGGUAAGCGGAAUUCUAAGUGUAGGGGUGCAAUCCGUAGAUACUUAGAAGAACACCAAAAGCGAAGGCAGCUUACUGGAACUGUAUUGACACUGAGGAACGAAAGCAUGGGGAGCGAAAAGGAUUAAAUACCCUUGUAGUCCAUGCCCUAAACGAUGAUAACUAAGUGUUCCUGUAAAAGGGAGUGCUGAAGCAAACGCAUUAAGUUAUCCUCCUGAGGAGUACGGUCACAAGAUUAAAACUCAAAGGAAUGGACGGGGACCCACACCAGCACUGGAUCACGUGGUUUAAUUCGACAAUAAACGGGGAAUCUUACCCAGACUUGACAUCCUAAGAACCUUUCAGAAAUGAAAGAGUGCCCGUAACGGAACUUACAGACAGGUGCUGCAUGGUUGUCGUCAGCUCGCGCCUUGAGGUGUUCGGUUAAGUCCGUUAACGAACGCAACCCAUGCCCUUAAUUACAAUGUUUAAGGGGACUGCCUUGGCUAACAAGGAGGAAGGUGUGGAUGACGUCAAAUCAGCAUGGCUUUUACCUCUGGGGCCACACACAUGAUACAAUGGUAAGUACAAAGAGUAGCGAGAGGGUGACCUGGAGCCAAUCUAUAAAACUUAUCUAAAUCCGGAUUGAAGUCUGAAACUCGACUUCAUGAAGUUGGAAUUGCUAGUAAUCGUGAAUCAGACAUGUCACGGUGAAUAUGUUCCUGGGUCUUGUACUCACCGCCCGUCACGGCAUGGGAGGUAAUAAUAUCGGAAGCUCCUUUGAUAAUAGAGGGAUCCAUGGUAGGAUUACUGACUGGGCUGAAGUCGUAACAAGGUAACC